UUUCCGUAGGUGAACCUGCGGAAGGAUCAUUACUGAAUGAAACACUUCUGGCUUUACGCUGUUGUGCUGGCCCUUUGGGCAAUGUGCACACGGCUCUGGUCACUUGUUUCUUCUGUUCCACCUGUGCACUGCCUGUAGACACGCUGUGUCUAUGAUAUUUGUUAACACACAACAAUGUUAGUUGGCAUGUUAUAUAUAAUAAUAAAAUAUACAACUUUCAACAACGGAUCUCUUGGCUCUC
rnacentral:misc_RNA from 1 species